GAUGAACGCUGGCGGCGUGCCUAAUACAUGCAAGUAGAACGCUGAAGGAAGGAGCUUGCUCUUUCCGGAUGAGUUGCGAACGGGUGAGUAACGCGAGGUAACCUGCCUGGUAGCGGGGGAUAACUAUUGGAAACGAUAGCUAAUACCGCAUAACAGUAGAUGUUGCAUGAUAUCUACUUAAAAGGUGCAAUUGCACCACUACCAGAUGGACCUGCGUUGUAUUAGCUAGUUGGUGAGGUAACGGCUCACCAAGGCGACGAUACAUAGCCGACCUGAGAGGGUGAUCGGCCACACUGGGACUGAGACACGGCCCAGACUCCUACGGGAGGCAGCAGUAGGGAAUCUUCGGCAAUGGACGGAAGUCUGACCGAGCAACGCCGCGUGAGUGAAGAAGGUUUUCGGAUCGUAAAGCUCUGUUGUAAGAGAAGAACGAGUGUGAGAGUGGAAAGUUCACACUGUGACGGUAUCUUACCAGAAAGGGACGGCUAACUACGUG
rnacentral:rRNA from 1 species